GCUGCACCAGCUCGCGCUGCGCCUGGACGGCUGGGCGCCGCCCGACCCCGUCUGCGUCGACCGCGUCGGCGUCUACUUCAGGCAUAUCACGCACGCGAAAACUGGUGCGACGGCGCGUAUCGUACUAGAAGUAUGCCUGGAGGGUUCAGCGCGUAAGCUGGUGACGGUGCGCUCGGCGCUGGUGCUGCGCAACACGCUGCCGCACGCCGUCGAGGUGCGCGUGGACUACGCGCCGCCCACGGCGCAAUGGAGCGGCAGCGGCGUGCGCGUGGCGCAGGUGGAGCCGGGCGCGAUGUGGGCGGCGCCGCUGGCCGCCGA